rnacentral:rRNA from 1 species
AUUGAACGCUGGCGGCAUGCUCUACACAUGCAAGUCGAACGGCAGCACGGGGGCAACCCUGGUGGCGAGUGGCGAACGGGUGAGUAACACAUCGGAACGUGCCCAGUUGUGGGGGAUAACCUAUCGAAAGGUAGGCUAAUACCGCAUGAGCUCGGCAAGAGGAAAGCGGGGGACUCAGCGAUGGGCCUCGCGCGACUGGAGCGGCCGAUGUCCGAUUAGCAGUUGGUGGGGUAAAGGCUUACCAAGGCGACGAUCGGUAGCUGGUCUGAGAGGAUGA